rnacentral:rRNA from 1 species
CAGCGCCACGAGUGGGGGCCGUGAUUAUUGGGCCUAAAGCGUUCGUAGCUGGUUCUGUUAAUCUUUUGUGAAAUCGUUGGGCUUAACCUAACGGCGUGCAGGAGACACUGCAGAACUUGGGACCGGGAGGGGUUAGAAGUAUUUCUGGGGGAGCGGUAAAAUGCAGUAAUCCCGGGAGGACUACCUGUGGCGAAGGCGUCUAACCAGAACGGGUCCGACAGUGAGGAACGAAAGCCAGGGGAGCAAACCGGAUUAGAUACCCGAGUAGUCC